UCGAGCGUCAUUUCAACCCAUCACGCCCCGGCGUGGACUUGGGGCCUGCGUCUUCGCAGCCCUUAAACUCAGUGGCGGUGCUAUUGAGCUCUGAGCGUAGUAAAUCUUCUCGCUAUAGGGUCUCGGUAGUUGCUUGCCAACAACCCCCCCAUUUUUAUCAGGUUGACCUCGGAUCAGGUAGGGAUACCCGCUGAACUUAA
rnacentral:misc_RNA from 1 species